AGUUACCAGCACGUUAUGGUGGGCACUCUAAGGAGACUGCCGGUGACAAACCGGAGGAAGGUGGGGAUGACGUCAAGUCAUCAUGGCCCUUACGGCCUGGGCUACACACGUGCUACAAUGGUCGGUACAAAGGGUUGCCAAGCCGCGAGGUGGAGCUAAUCCCAUAAAACCGAUCGUAGUCCGGAUCGCAGUCUGCAACUCGACUGCGUGAAGUCGGAAUCGCUAGUAAUCGUGGAUCAGAAUGUCACGGUGAAUACGUUCCCGGGCCUU
rnacentral:rRNA from 1 species